rnacentral:sRNA from 1 species
UCACUGGUCUCCGCGUAAAAGUUUGACGGAGUAAAUCCAGCACCGGACAUGACGAAGAGG